GUUUACUGUGUUUCAGUAGGUUUACUGUGUUUCAGUAGGAAGACCUGAUGGUUUACUGUGUUUCAGUAGGUUUACUGUGUUUCAGUAGGAAGACCUGAUGGUUUACUGUGUUUCAGUAGGAAGACCUGAUGGUUUACUGUGUUUCAGUAGGUUUACUGUGUUUCAGUAGGAAGAACUGGUGGUUUACUGUGUUUCAGUAGGUUUACUGUGUUUCAGUAGGAAGACCUGAUGGUUUACUGUGUUUCAGUAGGAAGACCUGAUGGUUUACUGUGUUUCAGUAGGAAGACCUGAUGGUUACUGUGUUUCAGUAGGAAGACCUGAUGGUUUACUGAGUUUCAGUAGGAAGACCUGAUGGUUUACUGUGUUUCAGUAGGAAGACCUGAUGGUUACUGUGUUUCAGUAGGAAGACCUGAUGGUUACUGUGUUUCAGUAGGAAGACCUGAUGGUUACUGUGUUUCAGUAGGAAGACCUGAUGGUUACUGUGUUUCAGUAGGUUUACUGUGUUUCAGUAGGAAGACCUGAUGGUUACUGUGUUUCAGUAGGAAGACCUGAUGGUUACUGUGUUUCAGUAGGAAGACCUGAUGGUUACUGUGUUUCAGUAGGAAGACCUGAUGGUUUACUGUGUUUCAGUAGGAAGACCUGAUGGUUUACUGUGUUUCAGUAGGAAGACCUGAUGGUUACUGUGUUUCAGUAGGAAGACCUGAUGGUUACUGUGUUUCAGUAGGAAGACCUGAUGGUUACUGUGUUUCAGUAGGAAGACCUGAUGGUUACUGUGUUUCAGUAGGUUUACUGUGUUUCAGUAGGAAGACCUGAUGGUUACUGUGUUUCAGUAGGAAGAACUGAUGGUUUACUGUGUUUCAGUAGGUUUACUGUGUUUCAGUAGGAAGACCUGAUGGUUUACUGUGUUUCAGUAGGUUUACUGUGUUUCAGUAGGAAGACCUGAUGGUUUACUGUGUUUCAGUAGGAAGACCUGAUGGUUUACUGUGUUUCAGUAGGAAGACCUGAUGGUUUACUGUGUUUCAGUAGGUUUACUAUGUUUCAGUAGGAAGAACUGAUGGUUUACUGUGUUUCAGUAGGAAGACCUGAUGGUUUACUGUGUUUCAGUAGGAAGACCUGAUGGUUACUGUGUUUCAGUAGGAAGACCUGAUGGUUUACUGUGUUUCAGUAGGAAGACCUGAUGAUUUACUGUGUUUCAGUAGGA